UACGUAGGGUGCAAGCGUUGUCCGGAAUUAUUGGGCGUAAAGAGCUCGUAGGCGGUCUGUCGCGUCUGCUGUGAAAAUCCAGGGCUCAACCCUGGACCUGCAGUGGGUACGGGCAGACUAGAGUGCGGUAGGGGAGAUCGGAAUUCCUGGUGUGGCGGUGAAAUGCGCAGAUAUCAGGAGGAACACCGGUGGCGAAGGCGGAUCUCUGGGCCGUAACUGACGCUGAGGAGCGAAAGCAUGGGGAGCGAACAGG
rnacentral:rRNA from 1 species